UACAGAGGUCUCAAGCGUUGUUCGGAUUUAUUGGGCGUAAAGCGUGCGUAGGCGGCGGGGUAAGUGAGGUGUGAAAUCCCGGAGCUUAACUCCGGAACUGCACUUUAUACUGCCUUGCUCGAGGGCUGGAGAGGAGACUGGAAUUUACGGUGUAGCAGUGAAAUGCGUAGAGAUCGUAAGGAAGACCAGUGGCGAAGGCGAGUCUCCGGAAAGCUGCUGACGCGUGAGGCACGAAGGCCAGGGGAGCAAACGGG
rnacentral:rRNA from 1 species